ensembl:snRNA U6 U6 spliceosomal RNA
GUGCUUGCUUCAGCAGCCCACAGACUAAAAUUGGAGUAAUACAGAGAAGAUCAGCAUGACCCCCACACAAGGAUGCUAUACAAACUUCUGAAACAUCCCCCCCUUUU